UAAAAGUCCGUCUUUGGGUGUUGAUAGAGGUCCACCCCAUGCCAUUGAUUCAACUCUAACAAAUUCCUUAUAGAAUAGUUUGUUGGGUGGGAUUCAAAGUGCCUUGCAUCCCAUUGAGAAGGGAAUGUCAAAUAAGAUUUUUGAUCUGAGCUAAGUAGCUCAGGAUACUUUAAACACUAUUCCUCCCUCAUUUCUUCUUUUGUUAUCUUUUGGCAUCGUCCAGGUAAGUUUCAAAUGUUCCAUCUCAGUUUCGGGACGUUCUUAGCAUUUCCAAUCCUGUGAUCGUUCGCCGUUUGCAAAGUCCAUUUUUGCCUUGAAAACAUCUCUCGGUAUCAUAAGUAUUUAUGAUCGAUCCCUAACCUUGGCAAUCGAUCACACCUAUGUAUCAAAAAUUCCAAACUUCCAGAGUAUCGUUCGUCAACUUGACGAUCGAUCACCAAUCUUGACGAUCGAUCGCACUGGGACCUUUCAUCUUCUUUGAUCCUCCGUGAAUCUUUACAUUCGAUCACCAAUUCCAGCGAUCAAUCAUACUGGAAGCGGAAUUUCCUUCUUCAAAUCAUGACUAUUAAGCGAACGAUCGCAGUUGUACGAUCGGUCGCACUAUGACUGAUCAAAUUUUUAAAUUUUGGUUCCCACUCGUGCUUUGGCUGUUUAGGUCCCUAAACCCUAAUUUCUUUUUAUUUUUGCUUUUUAUUCUCCCCUUCUCCCCUUCUUUUCUUUUUCUCUCUCUCUCUUCCUCCCUGUCUUCUCCAUCUCUAUCUUCUCCUCACCGAAACCCCUCUCCUUACAAACCCUUAACCUAGCCGCACCUCAUCCCUCUCAUCUUCUUAAUCUCUCAUCUCCCCAUCGGAGACCCAUUUGACCUGCAGCCAAAGCCAUCUCAGGCCUUCGCCGCCGUCGCUGCAACUCCGGCGAAGCUUCCUUCUUUCUCCGGCGAGCUCUUGGCCUAACGGCCUAGCCUCUCGCGGUUUUCUCUCUCCAGUCUCGGGGUUCUCUCUACUCCUCUUUCUCUGGCCGAUCUACGACAUGGAGAACUGCCGGUGUCUUCUGCAAUUUCCGGCAGAUCUUCUUCAUCAUCUCCGGCCACUGUUAGGCCAGAAAUUAUCCCAAAUUUCCCAAAGUCUCAUCUCUUUUGAUCAUCUUCUCAUCUCGGCAUGUAAGGGCUUGAGAUCAAAGUGGCAUCUUUGGCUUCGCCGGUCAUUGUUUUGAUACAAAAAGGAUGCAGCGGCAAAAGACACUAGCUAGGAAGAAAGUAACCCGGCCUCCACAGCCUCUCCAUCUCUAGAGGAGGAGUCUUUUUCAUUUGAGUUUGUGGCGACUGUAUCAUCUUCUUCUACAUCUUCUUCCAGUGCACCAUCUAUGGAUCUGGAGGGCCCCAUUAUCAGAGCAGUGCCUGAUCCAUAUUUUUCUGAGAGAGAUCAGGAGCUGGAGUAUACUUUUGAAACAAAUUUCUUUGCCCAGUCUGAGCAGACUAAGUGGGCCUAUGAUGAGAUCACCUAGCGCGGCAUUGCUGCCAUUCUUACACUAUUUAACGGCAAGGUGUAUCCCCGGUUGGUUGCAUUAUUCUACCAGCACCUCUGGCAGGAUGAGGAUGACCCUCAGAUCUUUCACACUAGUGUGGAUGGGCGGGAUAUUAUCAUUUCUACAGUCUCCAUAGUGAUAACCUGCGGAUUCCUCCACAUGUCUGCAGUGGUCACAGAGACAAAGUAGCCUUUGUAUCCAAUUAUUCUAGAGUAUCCUUCAUAUCUGGAUAUGGUUGCAUCUCUAUCUCCUCAGACAGCCUAUUUAGGUAACACCUAUGGCGAGCGGGUUGAUAUCCCAUCCCGGCUUUGGUUCAUUGAUACGGUGUUAUUUCGCAAUGCCUUUCCAUCUGGGCAUAAUACUCAGAGGUGGGAGGGGUUUUUAAAGGCCCUGUACAGUUUUAAUAUGGGAUGUUCGGUGUCGAUUCGUUCACUUAUCUGGUAAAUCUUCCAUAAGUACUGAGAGAACUUGGUGUUCAAAUAGAAUGAAAAAGCAAAGUCCUGGUCUCUCCCUUUUUGGCCGCUUGAUUAUACAUAUUCUGGCAGACUAGGGCUUCCCAUUUGACCCAACAGAGAAGCCAGAGGAGUCUAACAAGAAGUAUAGCGAGACCAAGUGGAAGAAGAGUUAUAAUGCAUGUCAGGCCAAUCUGAGAAGGGCUGUGAUGAAGAGGCUUGGGACUUUAGAUUCACAGGAGGGAUCUCCUACUUCUUCUGCUCCCAAGUCGAGAUAACGCACCAUUUUCGGCACAUCCCAGCCUCCCACCACAUCUCAGUUUCAGACGGGCACUUCAUCAGCUCCACCUCCACCUCUAGCAACUCAGACAGGCCCAUCCCUCAGCAUGCUAGCUCUGAUUCCAGUCUCUGAGGCAAUGUUACUCAGCUCCAGUCUGAGUUCAGAUCAUUCGAUACCCGGAUGGUAUAGAGAGUUGCCGAUCUUGAAAGAGGUAUCAUCGAUUCGAGGAGGGAUAUUGCACUGCUCAGGAGUGAUUUUGCCCAGAUCCGUACCGAGAUGACCAGUUUCCGCGGCAAGGUCACAGACAUGUUUCAGCACAUCAUCGAUCUGCUUGAGCCACUACCAGAUGUUAUUCCAUGACUCUACACUCUCUCUCUCACUCAUUUACUUGCUUUGAUACUAUUUGAUACUUGAUGAUUUUUGGGGAUUUAUACUAUUGUUAUAUGCUGCCUGGUUUUGGAUAUUUAGGCCUUGGAUAUUUUUGAUUCGAUAUAUGCAUGAUAUACUUUGAUA